rnacentral:misc_RNA from 1 species
AAAGUCGUAACAAGGUCUCCGUAGGUGAACCUGCGGAGGGAUCAUCAAAGAAUUUUAUACUUAUCAAGUUGUUUUUCUUCUUUUCGGAGAAAGAGAAACACUUGGUAUACAAACAAACGAUCACAACUAUUGAGGAAACUUACGAGGGGACAAAAGUGUUUGCCUGAUAAAUGAUUGAUUUGGAAAUCUAACAAAUAUAUACAACUUUCAACAACGGAUCUCUUGGCUCUC